UCGAGCGGGGUGAUGUAGCUUGCUACAUUACCUAGCGGCGGACGGGUGAGUAAUGCUUAGGAAUCUGCCUAUUAGUGGGGGACAACAUUCCGAAAGGAAUGCUAAUACCGCAUACGCCCUACGGGGGAAAGCAGGGGAUCUUCGGACCUUGCGCUAAUAGAUGAGCCUAAGUCAGAUCAGCUAGUUGGUGGGGUAAAGGCCUACCAAGGCGACGAUCUGUAGCGGGUCUGAGAGGAUGAUCCGCCACACUGGGACUGAGACACGGCCCAGACUCCUACGGGAGGCAGCAGUGGGGAAUAUUGGACAAUGGGCGAAAGCCUGAUCCAGCCAUGCCGCGUGUGUGAAGAAGGCCUUUUGGUUGUAAAGCACUUUAAGCGAGGAGGAGGCUACUUAGAUUAAUACUCUAGGAUAGUGGACGUUACUCGCAGAAUAAGCACCGGCUAACUCUGUGCCAGCAGCCGCGGUAAUACAGAGGGUGCGAGCGUUAAUCGGAUUUACUGGGCGUAAAGCGUGCGUAGGCGGCUUCUUAAGUCGGAUGUGAAAUCCCUGAGCUUAACUUAGGAAUUGCAUUCGAUACUGGGAAGCUAGAGUAUGGGAGAGGAUGGUAGAAUUCCAGGUGUAGCGGUGAAAUGCGUAGAGAUCUGGAGGAAUACCGAUGGCGAAGGCAGCCAUCUGGCCUAAUACUGACGCUGAGGUACGAAAGCAUGGGGAGCAAACAGGAUUAGAUACCCUGGUAGUCCAUGCCGUAAACGAUGUCUACUAGCCGUUGGGGCCUUUGAGGCUUUAGUGGCGCAGCUAACGCGAUAAGUAGACCGCCUGGGGAGUACGGUCGCAAGACUAAAACUCAAAUGAAUUGACGGGGGCCCGCACAGGCGGUGGAGCAUGUGGUUUAAUUCGAUGCAACGCGAAGAGCCUUACCUGGUCUUGACAUAGUAAGAACUCUCCAGAGAUGGAUUGGUGCCUUCGGGAACUUACAUACAGGUGCUGCAUGGCUGUCGUCAGCUCGUGUCGUGAGAUGUUGGGUUAAGUCCCGCAACGAGCGCAACCCUUUUCCUUAUUUGC
rnacentral:rRNA from 1 species